CCACUGCUAUGGGGGUCCGACUAAGCCAUGCGAGUCAUGGGGCGCGCUUNCGCGCACCGGCGGACGGCUCAGUAACACGUCGGUAACCUACCCUCGGGAGGGGGAUAACCCCGGGAAACUGGGGCUAAUCCCCCAUAGGCCUGAGGUACUGGAAGGUCCUCAGGCCGAAAGGGGCUUUUGCCCGCCCGAGGAUGGGCCGGCGGCCGAUUAGGUAGUUGGUGGGGUAACGGCCCACCAAGCCGAAGAUCGGUACGGGCCAUGAGAGUGGGAGCCCGGAGAUGGACACUGAGACACGGGUCCAGGCCCUACGGGGCGCAGCAGGCGCGAAACCUCCCCAAUGCGGGAAACCGCGACGGGGGGACCCCCAGUGCCGUGGUAUCGACACGGUUUUUCCGGAGUGUAAAAAGCUCCGGGAAUAAGGGCUGGACAAGGCCGGUGGCAGCCGCCGCGGUAAUACCGGCGGCCCAAGUGGUGGCCGCUAUUAUUGGGCCUAAAGCGUCCGUAGCCGGGCCCGUAAGUCCCUGGCGAAAUCCCACGGCUCAACCGUGGGGCUUGCUGGGGAUACUGCGGGCCUUGGGACCGGGAGAGGCCGGGGGUACCCCUGGGGUAGGGGUGAAAUCCUGUAAUCCCAGGGGGACCGCCAGUGGCGAAGGCGCCCGGCUGGAACGGGUCCGACGGUGAGGGACGAAGGCCAGGGGAGCGAACCGGAUUAGAUACCCGGGUAGUCCUGGCUGUAAAGGAUGCGGGCUAGGUGUCGGGCGAGCUUCGAGCUCGCCCGGUGCCGAAGGGAAGCCGUUAAGCCCGCCGCCUGGGGAGUACGGCCGCAAGGCUGAAACUUAAAGGAAUUGGCGGGGGAGCACUACAAGGGGUGGAGCGUGCGGUUUAAUUGGAUUCAACGCCGGGAACCUCACCGGGGGCGACGGCAGGAUGAAGGCCAGGCUGAAGGUCUUGCCGGACGCGCCGAGAGGAGGUGCAUGGCCGCCGUCAGCUCGUACCGUGAGGCGUCCACUUAAGUGUGGUAACGAGCGAGACCCGCGCCCCCAGUUGCCAGUCCUCCCCGCUGGGGAGGAGGCACUCUGGGGGGACCGCCGGCGAUAAGCCGGAGGAAGGAGCGGGCGACGGUAGGUCAGUAUGCCCCGAAACCCCCGGGCUACACGCGCGCUACAAUGGGCGGGACAAUGGGAUCCGACCCCGAAAGGGGAAGGGAAUCCCCUAAACCCGCCCUCAGUUCGGAUCGCGGGCUGCAACUCGCCCGCGUGAAGCUGGAAUCCCUAGUACCCGCGUGUCAUCAUCGCGCGG
rnacentral:rRNA from 1 species